rnacentral:rRNA from 1 species
UACGUAGGGUGCGAGCGUUGUCCGGAAUUAUUGGGCGUAAAGAGCUCGUAGGCGGUCUGUCGCGUCGGUCGUGAAAACUUGGGGCUUAACCCUGAGCUUGCGGUCGAUACGGGCAUCACUGGAGUUCGGCAGGGGAGACUGGAAUUCCUGGUGUAGCGGUGAAAUGCGCAGAUAUCAGGAGGAACAGCCGGUGGCGAAGGCGGGUCUCUGGGCCGAUACUGACGCUGAGGAGCGAAAGCGUGGGGAGCGAACAGG